rnacentral:lncRNA from 1 species
CUUCUGUCAAGGCCGGUGUCUCCUCGGAUCCGGGUCCCCCUCUGUACACGGGAGGGGCCUGGCUGUCACAAUGACACCCUUUUGGGUGUGCGGGGAAAACACGGCUGAAUGUUAAAUAAACACGCGCUAAUUACCCUGAGAAUAUUUAUUGAGGUUUUCCCACGUUGUAAUAAGAAAUUAUUGAAACAUAUAUCACCCACCGAGCUGUUAAUCAUUGGUAAAUAUAUUUUAAAUACAGCAGUCCAUUAGUAUUUUAAUUUAGCCUGUCUCCUGGAGAAUAUGUGCUGUAUGAGACAAAUGUCUCCAGCUCCAGAGCCAAGGGAAAAAUUUCCUCACCUAGUUAAUCUUUAUGUUUUCCUCUCAGGGAGGAAAUCCCGGCUGCACCAGCAAAAGAAAUGUUCCCUGGGGUCCAGUAUUGAUGGCCUAAUUCUCAAAAUCCUGGAAUGGUGUAUCAGUUCACUAAUACUUGUACAGUGGAGGAAAUGUUUCCUCUUCAGACAAAGCGCUGAUCAGUUCUUGAAAUCCACACGGAGCUACAGCCCUGUAUUCACUCUCCGGAAAGAAAUUCACCCAGACUCCACAGUGAGCUGCUGGACCAUAAGAGUCAGUACAUUAAGCUCGUUUCUCAGAGGAUUUACUGAAUUGGACUAAAAUCCAUUCCAGCAAUGGAAUCACAGAUGGGAACAUGGAUGCCCAUCCAGGCACUGCAGCUCCAAGUCUCCCUUGCAAUUAGGUGGGACUGUGGCGAAGCUCUUUUCCAGUGGAGUAUGAACAGGUGUGAUGUGAGCCACUUUCAGUAUUGACCCACAAAACCUCCACAGGCCAUGCUUCAGUGCUCCUUCUCACCUCCCCUGGUAAGAGUGAAAAUAAUUAGACAGACCUUGGUAGCAUGUGUGUGUGUUUUUUAAAAUAUAUAUUUAUUUAUUUUAGAGG